AAGAGACACAUGGAGAAGAGGGGGGAAGAAAUUAGAGGUCGACUCCGUCUCCGUGAAGCUCGUUGCUUCUUCUUCAUCUGUCAUCUCCAAGCUCUGUCUAGCUUCUUCCGGCCGUCGACUCUUCAUCUUCUUCUGUCAUCUCUUCUCUCCGUCUCCUCUCUUCUCUCUUCUCUCCAUCUCUAAUGUCUCUCUGUCUCGUGUCGCAAACAAAUGAGAUAAAAU
rnacentral:lncRNA from 1 species